GUCAGGUCCUCUGUCAUAUUGUUUUCCGUGUCCUUCAACCAGUUUCUCUUGGAUUUCUCUGGCAUCGUCGAAGCACCUUUUUGUUCUUGAUGAACCUUCCCACCUCCCAGCCGUCAAAUAUUCAAACCACUCCUGGCGCCUGGUCUAAGACCUGUUGAGCCAACAACACCACUCCCUCCAUUCGUUCCCAACCGGCAGCAGCAGGAGCGCUCUUGUAAAUAAUGAAUUGAGAUCACCUUUUCAACGCAGACGCGACUCAUCGCUCACCCAGACCAGGCGUCUUUCUCUUGAGAGGAGGUUCUGCUGAGCAAACGCAUGAACAGAAGAAUCAACAGAAAGAAGGGAUCAAUGUUUACGUCCGCCUGUCGUGACCCGGGGGGCUCGGUGUAAUCCAGCCUCUCUCUGUGAUUGGAUGAUGGACACAGAGGUGAAUGCUAUUACUUAGUGGGAUCUAAGGCGACCUUUGACCCCUUGGCCAGCUGACCACCGACACAGUGAGUGGGCUGACCAUCAUGCAAACCUCUCUGUUUUGGGGGGGGUUCUUCGCGUUAUAUAAUUUACAGCGGGAGUGAAAUUCAAAUCAAGAAAUCAUUUAGCGUCUUGAUGCACUAUGUAUGAUUUCAGUCUAAGUUGUGUCUAAAGUGGCCACACUAAUUAUGUUGCACUCGCUCAACGUCAAACAGAUUCUCUUCUAUCUUUUUCUCAGUGUCGGUGGGUUUUGACUUUACUAAAUCUGUCACAAAUGUGUUGCUGGUUCUGCAGAACAACAUGCAGAACACACAUCAUUACCAACGGAUUACUUAUUUAUUCAUCAUCUGCUUCUCAAAGAAAACAGCUUCUUUAUUUAUGUGUUUUAAAAUCAACCCGAGAAACGACAAGUGCAGCAUAUUCUGUCUUCAUACUUAAUAUUAUCAAAUACAAUGCAGGACGUCUUCACUCUGAUGUGUCUCACACACUUUAACUGAACUGUGAACAGAUUGUUUUGAUAUUCAUGUAUCCUUCCUUCCUUCCUUCCUUCCUUCCUUCCUUCCGUC